CGGAAACAAACUCUUCCAGAUCUUAAUUGUGGAUUUCUAGCCUCCAGAAUGGUAUUCUUUCAGAUACUGUGUACUGAUGAAACUGCUGACUCAGCUGGUCUGAAGGACCCCACUGGCACUGGCUGGUCUGAAGGACCCUGCUGAUCACAACUUGCCUGAAGGACCCUACUGACAUCAGCUGUUGUCCAAAGGACGCCACAAGAAACUGACUCACCAAAAAAUGCAUCCUGAUGAUUUCAUCCCCCUUAACCCGACCAAUCAACAACCCCAAAUCUACACAGCCCCUUUCCCUCCAUGAUUCCUACAAAACUCCAGCCCAGA
rnacentral:lncRNA from 10 species